GCAUCCAGCAUGUGAAAAAACAACUCAGACCACACAUUUUCCACCUAUGUUCUUCGGGAUGUGCUGGAGAUGAUAUGUGAAGAGAAAGAGACUCAGCUUAAGACCCGACAAUUCCGCUGAGCAAUUCUGGGAAGAGAAUGAAAAACAUUUUGUUGAUGAGAAUCUGUAUUCAUCAGUUUUUGUACAAGACUAAGAACUCGGCAUGCUUUUACAUUGGAAAUUUGGUAAUUAAUAUCAGCAUCCUGAUUUUCCAUUGGGGAGUAAGUCAACCUUCCUUGGAUAGUAGCAUAGGGACCUUUAUUGUACAUAAGUAACCUGGACUUGGACAGAGUCAAUGAAUUUAUCCACGAAUGGGUAUCUGCCUUCAGUCCAGUGAAAAUCAACCAGGUACUUCUGUACAGCCCGAGGGGGAAUAUGUCCUUUUCUCUGCCUGAAGUUGCCCAUGGUCAUGUUUGUGAUUAUACGGGGUAAACUGAGAAUAAAAUAAUCACAUACAAAAGAAGAAUCAAAAAAAUGAGAUAUGAUCUUGAUAACCUAAUUUAAACUCUAAGUAAUUCUCAUAACAGGAUUUAGUGAACAUUCUAACCCUUUUCCAACAACCCAUCCUGCUACAUGCCUUUAUCAUAAAAUAGCUUCAUAUAUAAAAGCGUCAUGUUAAAGUUAGUUUUACUUUUCCACUUAUAUAGAUUUAAAUAUAUUUUAUUGAAUUAUUAAAACUUUACAAAGUUGGGGCUAAUCCUAGCUCUUGUUUAUACAAUUUUAAAAAUGAUAUUUGUUU
rnacentral:lncRNA from 1 species